ACUCCUACGGGAGGCAGCAGUGGGGAAUAUUGCACAAUGGGCGCAAGCCUGAUGCAGCCAUGCCGCGUGUAUGAAGAAGGCCUUCGGGUUGUAAAGUACUUUCAGCAGUGAGGAAGGUGGGUAUGUUAAUAGCAUAUUCAUUUGACGUUAGCUGCAGAAGAAGCACCGGCUAACUCCGUGCCAGCAGCCGCGGUAAUACGGAGGGUGCGAGCGUUAAUCGGAAUUACUGGGCGUAAAGCGCAUGCAGGUGGUUUGUUAAGUCAGAUGUGAAAGCCCGGGGCUCAACCUCGGAAUUGCAUUUGAAACUGGCAAACUAGAGUACUGUAGAGGGGGGUAGAAUUUCAGGUGUAGCGGUGAAAUGCGUAGAGAUCUGAAGGAAUACCGGUGGCGAAGGCGGCCCCCUGGACAGAUACUGACACUCAGAUGCGAAAGCGUGGGGAGCAAACAGGAUUAGAUACCCUGGAGGAUCUGC
rnacentral:rRNA from 1 species